GCCAGUGUGGCAUAGUGGUUUAAGCGCUGGACUGUGACUCUUGAGAUCAGGGUUCAAUUCUAUGCUUGGCCA